rnacentral:rRNA from 1 species
UCAAGCUACAAAGAGCUUACGGAGAAUGCCUUGGUACAUGGCGCCGAAGAAGGACGUGACAAGCUGCGAAAAGCUGCGGGGAGGAGCAAAUAUCCUGUGAUCCGCAGAUAUCCGAAUGAGGGAACUCUGCACAAGUAAUAUUGUGUAAUCCGUUACUGAAUCCAUAGGUAACGGAGGGGAACCCGGGGAACUGAAACAUCUAAGUACCCGGAGGAAAAGAAAAUAACAAUGAUUCCGAAAGUAGUGGCGAGCGAAAUCGGAGAAGCCCAAACCUUAGGUAGUAAUACUUAAGGGGUAAGGACCGCGAGAUAGCAUCGGGAAAGGUAGUUGAAUUAUCUGGAAAGGUAAGACAAAGAGGGUGAAAUCCCCGUAAACGAAACCUUAAACGAGCGAGCGUAAUCCGGAGUACGUCGGGACACGAGAAAUCCUGACGGAAGAAAUGGGGACCAUCCCAAAAGGCUAAAUACGACCAUGUGACCGAUAGCGAAUAGUACCGUGAGGGAAAGGUGAAAAGAACCCCGGGAGGGGAGUGAAACAGAACCUGAAACCGUAAGCUUACAAGCAGACAGAGCACAUUUUAGGUGUGAUGUCGUACUUUUUGUAGAACGGGCCGGCGAGUUACGAUGUGAUGCGAGGUUAAGUGUUAAAGACACGGAGCCGAAGCGAAAGCGAAUCUGAAAAGGGUGCAAAGUAUCAUGUCGUAGACCCGAAACCGAAUGACCUAACCAUGAGCAGGUUGAAGCAAUGGUAAAACGUUGUGGAGGACCGAACACACGCCUGUUGAAAUAGUCGGUGAUGACUUGUGGUUAGCGGAGAAAUUCCAAACGAAUUCGGAUAUAGCUGGUUCUCCUCGAAAUAGCUUUAGGGCUAGCCUCGUAUAUGAUCCAUGUCGGUAGAGCACUAACUGGCCUAGGGGGCUUCACAGCCUACCGAAGCUUAUUAAACUCCGAAUGGCAAGGAAUCGAGUACGGGAGUCAGACAGCGACAGCUAAGUGCCGUUGUCAAAAGGGAAACAGCCCAGAUCUACAGCUAAGGUCCCCAAGUGCAGGUUAAGUGGAAAAGGAUGUGACAAUGCAUAGACAACCAGGAUGUUGGCUCAGAAGCAGCCACGCAUUAAAAGAGUGCGUAAUAGCUCACUGGUCGAGUGAUGUUGCGCCGAAAAUUAACGGGGCUCAAACCUGCCACCGAAGCUUAGGAAUACGCGAUGCGUAUUGGUAGAGGAGCAAUGUAUAUGCGCAGAAGCCGUACCGGAAGGAGCGGUGGAGUAUAUAGAAGAGAGAAUGCCGGCAUAAGUAGCGAGAGCGGAGCGAGAAACUCCGCCGUCGAAAGUCUGAGGUUUUCCGGGGAAGGUUCGUCCGCCCGGAGUAAGUCGGGACCUAAGCGGAGGCCGAAAGGCGUACGUGAUGGACAGCGGGUUGAUAUUCCCGCACUACCGAGAGAGUCAAUGAAGCAGUGACACGGAAAGAUAGAAGAAGCGCGCAGAUGGAAAAGCGCGUCCAAGCAGUGAGGGAGGCUUGUAGUAAAGUACGCAAGUCAUAAUCCUGGGCUGUGACGGGGAGUGGACCAAGGAAACGAAGUCUUUGAAUCUACGCCGGCGAGAAAAGCUGCUAAAUAUUUCGAGGUACCCGUACCGCAAACCGACACAGGUAGACGAGAAGAAAAUUCUAAGACGAACGGGAGAACCCUUGUUAAGGAACUCGGCAAAAUGACCCCGUAACUUCGGGAGAAGGGGAGCCAUGGAGACAUGGCCGCAGUAAAGAGGCCCAAGCGACUGUUUAUCAAAAACACAGGUUUCUGCUAAGGCGUAAGCCAAGGUAUAGGAGCUGACUCCUGCCCAGUGCCGGAAGGUCAAGGGGAUCCGUCAACGCAAGUGAAGCGGUGAACUUAAGCCCCGGUGAACGGCGGCCGUAACUAUAACGGUCCUAAGGUAGCGAAAUUCCUUGUCGGGUAAG